GAGGGUAUAGCUCAGGGGUAGAGCACAUGCUUGGCAUCCACAGGGUUCUGGGUUCAAUCCCCAGUACCUCCA
rnacentral:tRNA from 1 species